CCUACGGGAGGCUGCAGUGGGGAAUAUUGCACAAUGGGGGAAACCCUGAUGCAGCGACGCCGCGUGAGUGAAGAAGUAAUUCGUUAUGUAAAGCUCUAUCAGCAGGGAAGAAAAUGACGACCUGAGUAAGAAGCCCCGGCUAACUACGUGCCAGCAGCCGCGGUAAUACGGAGGGGGCAAGCGUUAUCCGGAUUUACUGGGUGUAAAGGGAGCGUAGACGGCAGUGCAAGUCUGGAGUGAAAGGCGGGGGCCCAACCCCCGGACUGCUCUGGAAACUGUACGGCUGGAGUGCAGGAGAGGUAAGUGGAAUUCCUAGUGUAGCGGUGAAAUGCGUAGAUAUUAGGAGGAACACCAGUGGCGAAGGCGACUAUCUGGCACAUAACUGACGCUGAGGAGCGAAAGCGUGGGUAGCAAACAGGAUUAGAUACCCCUGUAGUC
rnacentral:rRNA from 1 species